GAUUAGUAUAAACGAGCAACGAAUGGAUGACUAGGGUGUUCUUAACGGACGUAAAUAAACGAAAGGUCAACUUUGAGUAACUUUGAGAGUUGAAUUUCCACAGGGGAAACCUAAGUAAUUUGAUUAAGUUUGGGAAUUAAAACAUUUAAGUACCAAAAUAAAAGAAAUCAAGCGAGAUUCCGUUAGUAGCGGCGAGCGAAAGCGGAGUAUAAAGCUCUUAAGGGGCAAGAAUCGAAAACCAAAGAAGGUAAAAGUCCUGUAGAUUCAAAAGAAAGCCAUUAAGUAUAACUAUUUGAAGAAAGGUGUAACACACAUCUAGGCUAAAUAUAAGAACAAACCGAUAGAGAAAAGUACUGUGAAGGAAAGUUGAANGAGAGGAAAUAGUGAAAUAGUGCCUGAAAUUCGUUGACUUAUAAGCAGUGUUUAAACACGUACCUUUUGCAUCAUGGGUUCGCAAGAUUAAGAUUUGGCAAAUUUAAGUUUCUAAAUGAAGAUGUAGCGAAAGCGAGUUUUUCAUAGCGUCAAUAAAGAUUAAAAAUUGUCUUUCAGUCAAAUUCUUCCCGAAACCAAGUGAUCAAGGCAUGGGCAGUUUGAAGUUAAUGUAAAAAUUAAUGGAGGAACGAACCGAUGAUUGUGGCAAAAAUCUCGGAUGACCUGUGUCUAGUAGUGAAAUGCUAAUCGAACUUGGAGUUAGCUGGUUUUCUGCGAAAUUUAUAUAAGUAAAGCGUUAUACUUAGUUCUUUUAUUGUAAAGCACUGGAUGGUAUUGGAGGCGCAAGCUGGGCAAUGCUAACUAAACUAUGAAGGAAAAAGAAUAUUGUAUAAUAGACAGACAAUAGGCGAUCAGGUUUAUUGUCAAAAGGGAAACAGCCCAGAUCAUAAGUUUAGGUCAUUNAAAAAAUCUAAGUGUAAAAGGGAGUUUAUCAAUUAAGAGAAUAAGCAAGUAGGCUUGGAACCAGCCAUCUUUGUUAGAUUACGUAACAGUUCAUUCAACAAAUUUAUAGACCCCUAAAAUUAGGGUGGCUUAAGAAACCCNGAAACUAUGAAUAAGGUAUGGUAGCAGAACGUACUGAACAGCAGCUAGCGAAAAGCUUAUAAUCAGUAGUGAUAAUGCGAACAUGAGUAAAAAACAGUGUGAGAAACACUGACCACUGCCUAAGGGUUUCAAUUCCAGGAGAAUCCAAAUUGGGUUAUACAGUCUCUAAGAGGGGCCGCUCAAGCGGCGUUUUAAUGAGGGAAAAUGAUAUAAGCUCUAAUGAGCCAAGAAAAUUUUAUUUUAAGAGAACUGUACUAAAGACUAACUCCAGUGGGCAAAAAGUGGCGGUACAAUUUAUUUUAAGGAACUCGGCAAAAUGACCCCGUAAGUUCGCGAGAAGGGGUGCCUAUCAGAUCUAAAAAUUAUGAGCUGGUAGGUCGCAGAAAAGAGGGAGUGUCGACUGUUUACCAAAAACACAGCUUCCAGCAAAUAUGAAAAAUAGUCGUAUUGGAGGUGAGGCCUGCCCAAUGAUUGGAUCUGAAAACGAACGGUGUGUAUGUCGUUUGUAUAAGGACAAUUAAAUGGCCGCGGUAAAACUGACCGUGAUAAUGUAGCGCAAUCAAUAGCCAAUUAAUUGUUGGCAAGUAUGAAUGGCGUAACGAAUGCUCCACUGUCUCAAGAUAAAUACCAAUGAAAUUGAAUUCGUAGUGAAGAUGCUACGUACAAAUUGUUAGACGAGAAGACCCUAUUGAGCUUUACUGGAAACUUAUAUUGUUAGNAAAAAAAAAUUUGUGUGUGGGGGUGUAGUGCUCUUAAAGUUACCACUUUUUUCAUUUAUAAUAACUUAUGGGCAAGGCCUAAAAAAGUGUAAGUUGGACAGUUUGGUUGGGGCAACCGCCUUCUAAAAAGUAACGAAGGUGAACAUAAGGUAAAGACAUAAUGAUGUAAUAAGCCUGACUGUAAAGAUAACAAUCUGAGCAGGGCCCAUUAGGGCGGUUAAAAUGACCCGUUAAUAUAAAGUGUAAUAGUUAACGAUCAACGGAUAAAAGUUACCAUAGGGAUAACAGCGUAAUACUGUUUGAGAGUUCAUAUUGACGACAGUGUUUGCNACCUCGAUGUUGAAUUGCGGUGUCCUGGAGGUGCAGCCGCUUCCAAGGGUUGGACUGUUCGUCCAUUAAAACCGUACAUGAUUUGAGUUCAGUGCAUUGUAAGAUAGCACGGUUUCNAUCUACAAUUUGUAAAGGAAACAUCAGAUAAACUAUUUUCUAGUACGAAAGGAUUGAAGGAUAGUCGUCCUAUGGUGACCAAUUUUAAAUGUUGGGUGGCUACGACGAAAGGUAUAAUCGCUGAAUGCAUUUCAAGUGAGAAGACCUUUAUUAUUUUGUUUCCUGUUUUUAAAACAAGAAGGGCCGUUCAAGAUAAGGACGUUAAUAGGAUCUAUGUGUCAACUACAGUAAUGUAGCAUGUUAAAGAUUACUAAUGCCCGAAAGACUAAUUCU
rnacentral:rRNA from 1 species